rnacentral:rRNA from 1 species
UAUGAACGCUGGCGGCGUGCCUAAUACAUGCAAGUCGAGCGAACAGACGAGGAUCUUGCUCCUCUGACGUUAGCGGCGGACGGGUGAGUAACACGUGGAUAACCUACCUAUAAGACUGGGAUAACUUCGGGAAACCGGAGCUAAUACCGGAUAAUAUAUUGAACCGCAUGGUUCAAUAGUGAAAGACGGUUUUGCUGUCACUUAUAGAUGGAUCCGCGCCGCAUUAGCUAGUUGGUAAGGUAACGGCUUACCAAGGCAACGAUGCGUAGCCGACCUGAGAGGGUGAUCGGCCACACUGGAACUGAGACACGGUCCAGACUCCUACGGGAGGCAGCAGUAGGGAAUCUUCCGCAAUGGGCGAAAGCCUGACGGAGCAACGCCGCGUGAGUGAUGAAGGUCUUCGGAUCGUAAAACUCUGUUAUUAGGGAAGAACAAAUGUGUAAGUAACUAUGCACGUCUUGACGGUACCUAAUCAGAAAGCCACGGCUAACUACGUG